UACGUAGGGCGCAAGCGUUGUCCGGAAUUAUUGGGCGUAAAGAGCUCGUAGGCGGUCUGUCGCGUCCGCUGUGAAAACUCGGGGCUUAACCCCGAGCCUGCAGUGGAUACGGGCAGACUAGAGGUAGGUAGGGGAGAAUGGAAUUCCCGGUGUAGCGGUGAAAUGCGCAGAUAUCGGGAGGAACACCGGUGGCGAAGGCGGUUCUCUGGGCCUUACCUGACGCUGAGGAGCGAAAGCGUGGGGAGCGAACAGG
rnacentral:rRNA from 1 species